rnacentral:rRNA from 1 species
UACGUAGGGUGCAAGCGUUGUCCGGAAUUAUUGGGCGUAAAGAGCUCGUAGGCGGUUUGUCGCGUCGGCUGUGAAAACCUGGGGCUCAACCCCGGGCCUGCAGCCGAUACGGGCAAACUAGAAUUCGGUAGGGGAGACUGGAAUUCCUGGUGUAGCGGUGAAAUGCGCAGAUAUCAGGAGGAACACCGGUGGCGAAGGCGGGUCUCUGGGCCGAUAUUGACGCUGAGGAGCGAAAGCGUGGGGAGCGAGCAGG